UGCCCUCGAACUCAAAAUCUGCCUGUCUCUGCCUCCCAAGUGCUGGGAUCAAAGGCGUGGGCCACCUGUAUUUUCUUAUGUAAUGUUUGUUUCUGGUGGGUUAAAAGACCCUCCUGGACAGCGUUGGUAGACAUGGACCUUGGUAAUCUGUUCCGUAGACAUAGCGGGGAGACCAUGUUAGAGCAUUCAAGACCUAAAGAUUACAGGAUUUUGUGAAGGACAAAAUGGUGGCGGCAGUACAAGGCCACCCCCUAUGAUGAGGACCUUUUCACAGACCUGUACUGAUAUCUCUGUGAGGAUAAAUAACUCUGAGGAGGAUGGCCCUACCCCUACAGCCUUCUCACCCUGUAGAGAUCUCUUGGUGUAGAAAUAACACAUGCUAACUUAUCUCUACAGGUUUGAGGUGCUACUUACAAACAAAAGGAUGGGAAUAUGCUCUUUUCUCAGAAUAUGGUUCAUCUCAAGGCCAUUUACACUUUGGAGCCAGGCCUGUUCAGUUUUACAAAUAGCACAGGUUACUGUGACAACAUGAAGAGUUGAAGGUACCUCCCAGGAUGAUUGCAGAUUUUCCCGGUGGUGAGUCUCCGGCAUUCAAAGGUUCUGUUAGUGCCAUACUUGUUGGUUUACAGAUGGUGUGUCUGGCUGAGACCAAAGGAGCCAUGCCAGGAAAGUUAAAGCGUAUCUUCAUUUUUAAGUCCAGGCUAAAGUAAGGUCUGAGGAAAAGAAUGAGCUGCAUGAGAAAGAUAGGAACAGAUCAUCAAAUCUGAUUGUCCGGGCCAGUGUCAAGGGAACAACAAACUUAACUCAUGGACUACAGCCUGCUUUUAUUCCUUGAGUAGUAUCAGUUGCACUAGAAAUGGAAUGGCUAACCUUUUCCUAGCAUUAUUGUUGGAGAAGGUUAAUAUGAUUUGUUGCAUCAUAACAGGCCACUUUAAAAUGAAGUGAAAUUGACAAUUGUGAAUUUAACCUUCCUUGAUUACUACAUUGUUAACUCUAGGAACUAGUAUCUGGUCCUUACUACAUUGUUAACUUGUAGACCUGUGUUUAUGUCUAGCAAUAAAUGCUCUUUAUGCUAA